AUGGGGUUUCAACAUUGUUGGCCAGGAUGGUAUUUUCAUAGGUAAGUUAAACAGAAUCCUUUCCAUAUAUCAAUUCUAAUAAUUUGUUAAAGAAAAAAAGUACCAGUAUUGGUGUUUAUGUUUAUCAUAAACUUCCUGUAGGCUACUUUGUCAAUGUUUACAAAAAUGUAAAUAUUGUUGGGUCUAGCAAUUUUACCUAGGGAAACUUGUUUGUAUUGGCAGACACCCUUGUGGCUCUGUGUGAGCUGUGUCCAGUUUAUGAUUACCUCAAUCCACCACCACAAUAGGAAACAAGCUAAAAGAUUUUUACUUACAGAUCUUGGGCAAGGAGGGUGUGAUGAUGUGGGUGGGCAGUCCUCUAUCCUAAAGUCAGGCAAGGCAGGAAUGAAGAGUUGGGCAGAGAGAUGUGGGCCCUCCAAGUUCGGGGGCAAAUGCCGGAAUCAAUGGUCCCCUUAAAGGAAGUGGCAGGAAAGGGGGACCCAGUCUAAUAGGCAGGAGAGAUGCCUCUAAGUUCUCAUCUCUGGCCACCAGCUUGAGCCAUGUAGGUGUGGUGUCAGACUGGAAACUGCCAGGGGUCACUGAGCCCUGCUUCUGCAGGAGAAAGUUAAACUUGCAUUCAGAAUGGAUGCUGAGGCAACACAAAAUUAUAAGAAUGCAUUAUAGGUCUGACCGAACCAGGUGAGCAUUCUGAAAGAAACUCUAGGGGUCAGAAAGCUGAAGAAAUCAGCUAGCCUCGAAGAAAUGAGCUGACCUGAGUUAUACAGCUGCGAUGUAAUGGAUUCAGCCAACAACCCUGUGAACAUGCCCAAGAACCCAGCCUCAGAGGAGCCCCCAGCCCUGGCUAACACUCUUGAUUCCAGCCUUGUGAGAUCCUGAGCAGAGAACUCACUAAGUCAUGCCUGGAAACCUGCCCAUAGAAACCACGAGAUAAGAAGUGUGUGUUGUUUUCAGCCACUCAAUUUGAGAUACUUUGUUACAUGGAGAUGGAAAACGAAUACACAGGGCAUCUGCAGAUAUUUAUGGCAUGCCUUGUCUCUGUUUUAUCAAAGUGCUGUGUAUUUAGUGUGUGAGACAUAGAUAGCAGCGAAUGCUAGUUAUGCCCUGCAACCUGUGUUUCCAUUCAUGUUAAAGUAUCAUCCUGUAUGUGGCAUCUUGAACCAAAUGAAGAUUUUGGGAAGAGGUUUUGCUUUCCCUUUUUUGGAUGUUGUGGGUCACCAGGCAACUUCAUUGAUCACGUCAGACAUCAGUGGAUCAACUGGCACAUGCAGCAGUCUUAAGACAGUUCCAUAAAAGUUCUGUCAGCUUUUUACAAAAUGUCACUUGUGAUAAAAUGUUGACAGUUCUUUGUAUGUAUUAGCUGCACUUUCAGUAUUGUUCUGGCUGAUAAUAAUGAUGGUUAGCUUAAAGGAGCACUCUUCAGCAUCAUGGGUUAUGCCAACCAACCAACCA
rnacentral:lncRNA from 10 species